rnacentral:rRNA from 1 species
AUUGAACGCUGGCGGCAGGCCUAACACAUGCAAGUCGAGCGAGCGGCGGACGGGUGAGUAAUGUAUGGGGACUGCCCGAUAGAGGGGGAUAACUACUGGAAACGGUGGCUAAUACCGCAUACUAUCGGAUAACCCAUAUGGGAUUAGCUAGUAGGUGGGGUAAAGGCUCACCUAGGCGACUAUAUAUAGCUGGUCUGAGAGUAUGAUGAGCCAAACGGGGACGGAGAAACGGCCCAGACUCUUACGGAGGAAGAAGUGGGGAAUAUUGCACAAGGGGAGAAAGCCUGAUGCAGACAUGCGGCGUGUAUGAAGAAGGCCUUAGGGUUGUAAAGUACUUUCAGCGGGGAGGCGUUACCCGCAGAAGAAGCACCGGCUAACUACGUGCCAGCAGCCGCGGUAAUAC